rnacentral:rRNA from 1 species
GAUGAACGCUAGCUACAGGCUUAACACAUGCAAGUCGAGGGGUAACGAGAGGAAAGCUUGCUUUCCUUGUCGACGACCGGCGCACGGGUGAGUAACGCGUAUCCAACCUGCCCCCAACUAGGGAAUAACCUUGCGAAAGUAAGACUAAUACCCUAUAAUUUCCUCAGAUGACAUCUGACGAGGAAUAACGGUUUAUCGGUUGUGGAUGGGGAUGCGUCUGAUUAGCUUGUUGGCGGGGUAACGGCCCACCAAGGCAACGAUCAGUAGGGGUUCUGAGAGGAAGGUCCCCCAAAUUGGAACUGAGACACGGUCCAAACUCCUACGGGAGGCAGCAGUGAGGAAUAUUGGUCAAUGGGCGGAAGCCUGAACCAGCCAAGUAGCGUGCAGGAUGACGGCCCUAUGGGUUGUAAACUGCUUUUAUACAGGAAUAAAGUUAGCCACGUGUGGUUAUUUGUAGGUACUGUAUGAAUAAGGACCGGCUAAUUCCGUGCCAGCCGCCGCGGUAA